rnacentral:rRNA from 1 species
UGGGGAAUAUUGGACAAUGGGGGCAACCCUGAUCCAGCGACGCCGCGUGUGUGAAGAAGGCCUGCGGGUUGUAAAGCACUUUUAGUGGGGACAAAAAGCUACGGGUUAACACCCUGUGGUCUUGAUUUAACCCAAAGAAAAAGCACCGGCUAACUACGUGCCAGCAGCCGCGGUAAUACGUAGGGUGCAAGCGUUAAUCGGAAUUACUGGGCGUAAAGCGUGCGCAGGCGGUUAUGUAAGACAGGUGUGAAAUCCCCGGGCUUAACCUGGGAAUGGCAUUUGUGACUGCAUGGCUAGAGUGUGUCAGAGGGGGGUAGAAUUCCACGUGUAGCAGUGAAAUGCGUAGAGAUGUGGAGGAAUACCGAUGGCGAAGGCAGCCCCCUGGGAUAACACUGACGCUCAUGCACGAAAGCGUGGGGAGCAAACAGGAUUAGAUACCCUGGUAGUCCACGCCCUAAACGAUGUCUACUAGUUGUCGGGUCUUAAUUGACUUGGUAACGCAGCUAACGCGUGAAGUAGACCGCCUGGGGAGUACGGUCGCAAGAUUA